GACAGAGGGUGCAAACGUUGUUCGGAAUUACUGGGCGUAAAGCGUGCGCAGGCGGUUUUGUAAGCCAGAUGUGAAAGCCCCGGGCUUAACCUGGGAAUGGCAUUUGGGACUGCAAGGCUUGAGUGCGGCAGAGGAGACUGGAAUUCCCGGUGUAGCAGUGAAAUGCGUAGAUAUCGGGAGGAAUACCGAUGGCGAAGGCAGGUCUCUGGGCUGACACUGACGCUCAUGCACGAAAGCGUGGGGAGCAAACAGG
rnacentral:rRNA from 1 species